UGUCCGGAUUUACUGGGUGUAAAGGGUGCGUAGGCGGCUUUGCAAGUCAGAUGUGAAAUCUAUGGGCUCAACCCAUAAACUGCAUUUGAAACUGUAGAGCUUGAGUGAAGUAGAGGCAGGCGGAAUUCCCCGUGUAGCGGUGAAAUGCGUAGAGAUGGGGAGGAACACCAGUGGCGAAGGCGGCCUGCUGGGCUUUAACUGACGCUGAGGCACGAAAGCGUGGGUAGCAAACAGGAUUAGAUACCCUGGUACUCCACGCUGUAGACGAUGAU
rnacentral:rRNA from 1 species